GACGUUCAAAUUAUUCUUCAAUUAUAUCAUAAUUAAUAUUUGUUAUUGGUAUUGAGAAAAGCUAUAUAGGUCAACAUCCUCAAUAGGUUUAAGCUUUUCAAAGUAUUAAUAUUUUCAGAAAAUGAAAUGUAAAAUAGUUGGAUGAUUGUAGGAUGAAGCUUUUUAUUGUCAUGUGAAGUACUCACUUAUCACGAGUUAUAGGAUACCCACAUUUUGUAUAUUGGAUCCUAUAAACUACAUGUCCGUCAGACAGGAUUCACCUGACCCCGAAUUUGCCUUAUUUCAUGGAUGAAGAUUCAUUUUUGUGGUCAAGUCCGUAUCGCGGAUUCGUUAAGCUUUAGGAUAACUGUCUGUUGUUAUGAUUGUGAGGUGUACAUUUUCGACUUCUGCAAGGUUUCAAAUAACAUCGAACUCAUUAUCAUGCAUCAUUCGGCAAUGCUCGUUUUAUGUUGUCUAGCCUUUUGGAUAUAUACCUGACUGUAUGCUAUAGCGCCAUGGUAUUUCGUGUAUGGUGUACAUGUCUGUCUGCAUGUUUCAUAUAUGACCAUGAUGACGUCAAUUGUAUUUGAUAUAUUGAAUGAUAGUAAGAUGUCUAUGUCUGGCUGUCGGUCAGGGUUCAUAUACUUUUGACCUUAUGUUUCGAAUUAAUUGGCCAAGCAUAACUUUUACAUUUGUCAGUUUCUAAGGCACUGUAAGGAUCGGAACACAUUUAUUUGGUCUACGGGAUAUUUGUAGAGAUCUGUAUGUCAUGGUUCAUCUGACCUUGCACUCUUUUUAUGAACCAUUGACAAUCAUAAUUUAAAAAAAAAAGAUGUGGUAUGAUUGCCAAAGAGACAACUAUCCACAAGAGACCAAAAUGACACAGACAUUAACAACUAUAGGUCACCGUACGGCCUUCAACAAUGAGCAAAGCCCAUACCGCAUAGUCAGCUAUAAAAGGCCCCGAUAUGACAAUGUAAAACAAUUCAAACGAGAAAACUAACGGCCUUAUUUGUAUAAAAAAAAUGAACGAAAAACAAAUAUGUAACACAUAAACAAACGACAACCACUGAAUUACAGGCUCCUGACUUUGGACAGGCACAUACAUAAAUAAUGUGGCGGGGUUAGACAUGUUAGCGGGAUCCCAACCCUCCCCCUAACCUGAGACAGUGGUAUAACAGUACAACAUAAGAACGAACUAUAAAAAUCAAUUGAAAAGGCUUAACUCAUCAGAUGGACAAAAAUACAUUAAGCGCAUUAAGCGCAUUAAGCGCAUUUGACACUUCUAGUAAAACCCUUGAUAUUAUAGACGUUCCAAAAAUUAACUAUCAUAAGUAAAGCAGACGAGACAUUACAGCAUUUGCGCUCUGGUAUUCUAUAGUCUGUAGUAUAUAGUUAAAUCAAUCCACAUCUGCGUUGUAUAUACAGAACUUAAGAAAGUACUGUUGCACAAAAUGUUGGUUAUCGUUCAAUCUCAAAUUACUCAUGAAAGAUGCUGUUUUGCUGUAAUUUUUUGUUUGAUGGAUAUCAUUUUGGUUUAAACGUUGCAUAUCCAUAUUAUUGGCUAAAUAGUGUCGGUCUGCCUGAAUUGCACUUGACCGAUUCUCAGAGCUGAAUCUUUCAAACUUAUUUAGAGACGUUUUUAGUUGUUGUUUUUUUUAACUUUCGAGGUAAAGUGUUGAAUAAAAAAAAAUAGCUUUAAUGUUCAUCCUUAUCAAAAUAGUUACAGGCUUCAACCAGUUGCAGGUUUAUCAAAUGGUAAAAGAAAUACUGAUUUCUGAUUACUAGUAAUAAGUCUGGUCACGCAUUAUCUUUCACGAUCAAAAUAAUGCGUUGCCUGAUCUUUCACGAUCAAGUUUGAUGGAUAUUCAACAAAUUCAAGGUUUUCAUAUACAAAUUAAUGCUUUUAAGAGAAGAACAUACCUUAAUUUUACUGUACUAUCAGAUACACCAAAGAUUAAAUUUCAAAUAUAUCACGAUAAACUGAAAUAUGAC
rnacentral:lncRNA from 1 species